GCAGCAGACAAGUUUAGCUCGGGUCAAGCGCGGAGCAUACGGGUCAGAUUUCGCGUUCGAGUUCGGUCAACUCGGUCCAACUCGGUCAGCCGAGUCAACUCAGUUGACUCGGUCAACUCAGUCGGCUCACUCGACAUAUUGACGGAAGACUCGGAAUAUUGUAGAAUGCACGCUAGCAAGUCAAGUCUUGGAAACGACAUCACGAAGUCGUAUAUAGCUAGCUUUGCACAGGAAUAUUCAGGAAUAUUGUAGAAUGCACGCUAGCAAGUCAAGUCUUGGA
rnacentral:lncRNA from 1 species